rnacentral:rRNA from 1 species
GUAGGGAAUAUUGGGCAAUGGAUGCAAGUCUGACCCAGCCAUCCCGCGUGCCGGAAGAAGGCCCUCAGGGUUGUAAACGGCUUUUGACGGUGAAGAAUCGACAGGAUGCGUCCUGUUUUGACGGUAGCCGUUGAAUAAGCACCGGCUAACUCCGUGCCAGCAGCCGCGGUAAUACGGAGGGUGCGAGCGUUGUCCGGAUUUAUUGGGUUUAAAGGGUGCGUAGGCUGGAAGGUCAGUCAGCGGUGAAAAGCUGUCGCUUAACGAUAGUCUUGCCGCAGAUACUUCCUUUCUUGGAUGAGGAGGAGGCCACUGGAACGGAUGGUGUAGCGGUGAAAUGCAUAGAUAUCAUCCAGAACACCGAUUGCGAAGGCAGGUGGCUGUACCUUAAUCGACGCUGAUGCACGAAAGCAUGGGGAGCAAACAGGAUUAGAAACCCGUGUAGUC